rnacentral:rRNA from 1 species
GGUUAAGCUAAUAAGAGCACACGGAGGAUGCCUAGGCGCCAGGAGCCGACGAAGGACGUGGCGAACAACGAAACUGCCUCGGGGAGCUGUAAGCAAGCUUUGAUCCGGGGGUGUCCGAAUGGGGAAACCCAGCUGUGGUAAUGCGCAGUUACUCAUUUCUGAAUACAUAGGAAAUGUAGAGGCAGACCAGGGGAACUGAAACAUCUAAGUACCCUGAGGAAGAGAAAACAAUAGUGAUUCCGUCAGUAGCGGCGAGCGAACGCGGAACAGCCUAAACCUAAGAGCUUGCUCUUAGGGGUUGUGGGACGUCUCACAUGGAGUUACAAAGGAAUAUGGUAGGCGAAGAGGUCUGGAAAGGCCCGCGAUAGAGGUAAAAGCCCUGUAGCCUAAACUGUAUUCUCUCCGAGACGGAUCCCGAGUAGUGCGGGGCACGUGAAACCCCGUAUGAAUCCAGCAGGACCAUCUGCUAAGGCUAAAUACUACCUGGCGACCGAUAGUGAAACAGUACCGUGAGGGAAAGGUGAAAAGCACCCCGGAAGGGGAGUGAAAUAGAACCUGAAACCGUGUGCUUACAAAAAGUCAGAGCCCAAUCUAUGGGUGAUGGCGUGCCUUUUGUAGAAUGAACCGGCGAGUUACGUUUACCAUGCAAGGUUAAGGUGAGAAGCCGGAGCCGCAGCGAAAGCGAGUCUGAAUAGGGCGACAUAGUAUGGGGGCGUAGACCCGAAACCGUGUGAUCUACCCCUGUCCAGGGUGAAGGUGCGGUAACACGCACUGGAGGCCCGAACCCACGCAUGUUGAAAAAUGCGGGGAUGAGGUGGGGGUAGCGGAGAAAUUCCAAUCGAACUCGGAGAUAGCUGGUUCUCCCCGAAAUAGCUUUAGGGCUAGCCUCGGUAUGAGAGUAGUGGAGGUAGAGCACUGAUUGGUUGCGGGGCCCGCAAGGGUUACCAAGAUCAGUCAAACUCCGAAUGCCAUAUACUUAUUGCCGGGAGUCAGACAGUGAGUGCUAAGAUCCAUUGUCGAAAGGGAAACAGCCCAGACCAUCAGCUAAGGUCCCCAAGUGUGUGUUAAGUGGGAAAGGAUGUGGAGUUGCACAGACAACCAGGAUGUUGGCUUAGAAGCAGCCACCAUUGAAAGAGUGCGUAAUAGCUCACUGGUCGAGUGACUCUGCGCCGAAAAUGUAACGGGGCUAAACACACCACCGAAGCUAUGGCUAGAUACAAUGUAUCUGGGGUAGGGGAGCGUUGUAUAUACGUUGAAGGUAUACCGUGAGGAGUGCUGGAGCGUAUACAAGUGAGAAUGCCGGUAUGAGUAACGAAAAGAUCAGUGAGAAUCUGAUCCGCCGAAAGCCCAAGGUUUCCUGAGGAAGGCUCGUCCGCUCAGGGUAAGUCGGGACCUAAGGCGAGGCCGAAAGGCGUAGUCGAAGGACAACAGUUUGAAAUUACUGUACCACCGUAAUCCGCUAUGAGCGAUGGGGUGACGCAGGAGGGUAGUGACGCGGACUGAUGGAAGUGUCCGUCUAAGCAGUGAGGCUGAUGUGUAGGCAAAUCCGCACAUCAAUAAGGCUGGGCUGUGAUGGGGAGCGAAAAUUGUAGUAGCGAAGGUCAUGAUCUCACACUGCCAAGAAAAGCCUCUAGCCAGGAGAAGGUGCCCGUACCGCAAACCGACACAGGUAGGCGAGAAGAGAAUUCUAAGGCGCGCGGAAGAACUCUCGUUAAGGAACUCGGCAAAAUGACCUCGUAACUUCGGGAGAAGAGGUGCCUCGGUAGGGUGAAUAGCCCGAGGGGGCCGCAGUGAAAAGGCCCAAGCGACUGUUUAGCAAAAACACAGGUCUGUGCGAAGCCGUAAGGCGAAGUAUACGGGCUGACGCCUGCCCGGUGCUGGAAGGUUAAGGGGAGCGGUUAGGGGUUAAACCCGAAGCUGUGAACCGAAGCCCCAGUAAACGGCGGCCGUAACUAUAACGGUCCUAAGGUAGCGAAAUUCCUUGUCAGGUAAAUUCUGACCCGCACGAAUGGCGUAACGACUUGGGCGCUGUCUCAACGAGAGAUCCGGUGAAAUUUUAAUACCUGUGAAGAUGCAGGUUACCCGCGACAAGACGGAAAGACCCCAUGGAGCUUUACUGCAGCUUGAUAUUGAAUUUGGGUACGAUCUGUACAGGAUAGGUGGGAGCCAGAGAA